rnacentral:misc_RNA from 1 species
AAGUCGUAACAAGGUUUCCGUAGGUGAACCUGCGGAAGGAUCAUUAAUGAAAUUCUGACCGAGGCUGUAGCUGGUCCCUAGCCGGACAUGUGCACGUCUCUUUCAAAAUCCACAAACACCUGUGCACCUUUGCGUGAGUCCACUGGGGUUGUACCCGAGGGGGCUUGCGUCCUUUUCACAAACUCUUGUAUGUCUUUAAGAAUGUCUAUCUUGAUGUAAUAAAACGCAUCUAAUACAACUUUCAACAACGGAUCUCUUGGCUCUC